UGGGGAAUUUUCCGCAAUGGGCGAAAGCCUGACGGAGCAAUGCCGCGUGGAGGUGGAAGGCCUACGGGUCGUCAACUUCUUUUCUCGGAGAAGAAACAUGACGGUAUCUGAGGAAUAGCAUCGGCUAACUCUGUGCUAG
rnacentral:rRNA from 1 species